GUGGCCCGGCGAGCACGUGACCCGCCGACGCCGUGCGGAGGGGAUGAGCGCGGGGCGAUGUCGGCGCCGCCAUCUUGAGAGCCGCGCGCCCACCCCCUGCCCCCCCGCCGCGGUCACGUGGCGGCGGGUGAACCCCAACCCUGUAUCUAGGGAAGGAAAACCACAACCUCACACCCCAGGACGAAGAGCGCAAGUGCUUUGGUGAAUUGUUGUAAAUCCUGCUGCUGUGAUCCCAAGGGAAAAAAGAAGAGAUGAUUACACCUGCUUUUGGGGGCGGGUUGUGAUUUACAUGGAUCAGGAACACUGGCUUGGCCAAGAUUUCUCUCCGAAAAAGAACUGAAAGUCAACAGAGAUGGACAUUCCGGUUGCAUUUCCACAGCAGCGGUUUAACAAGCUCUUUGUUUUCACGUUUGCCUGUACCGGUACCACACGCCAGGUCAUUACAGAACAGUAACUCCUCA